ensembl:rRNA 5S_rRNA 5S ribosomal RNA
GUCUAUGGCCAUACCACAUUGAAUGUGUCCAAUCUUGUCUGAUCUCAGAAGCUAAGCAGGGUUGGGCCUGGUUAGUACUUAGUACUUGGAUGGGAGAAUGGCUUGGGGUUCCUCAAUG